rnacentral:rRNA from 1 species
GAUGAACGCUGGCGGCGUGCCUAAUACAUGCAAGUCGAGCGAAUGGAUUAAGAGCUUGCUCUUAUGAAGUUAGCGGCGGACGGGUGAGUAACACGUGGGUAACCUGCCCAUAAGACUGGGAUAACUCCGGGAAACCGGGGCUAAUACCGGAUAACAUUUUGAACCGCAUGGUUCGAAAUUGAAAGGCGGCUUCGGCUGUCACUUAUGGAUGGACCCGCGUCGCAUUAGCUAGUUGGUGAGGUAACGGCUCACCAAGGCAACGAUGCGUAGCCGGCCUGAGAGGGUGAUCGGGCACACUGGGACUGAGACACGGCCCAGACUCCUGCGUGAGGCAGCAGUAGGGAAUCUUCCGCAAUGGACGAAAGUCUGACGGAGCAACGCCGCGUGAGUGAUGAAGGCUUUCGGGUCGUAAAACUCUGUUGUUAGGGAAGAACAAGUGCUAGUUGAAUAAGCUGGCACCUUGACGGUACCUAACCAGAAAGCCACGGCUAACUACGUGCCAGCCGCCGCCGUAA